UUAUAUACUAACCAAUCUUUUUCUACUCCAAACUUAAAACUCAGAAUUCUCUCCCUCCUCUCUUAUUUCAAUUCACGCGAUAAAACCUUAAUCCAGGAGCAGAGGCUCGAGAUCAUCUUCCACAAAUUGAUAUGUCUUCUCUUUACCGGGGAAUGUCCAGGAAAGACAAACCCAGAGGGCGGCCCCAUGGGUUAACUCAACAGAAAAAGCAGGAGAUUAAAGAAGCUUUUGAACUUUUUGAUACCGAUGGAUCUGGAACAAUUGAUGCAAAAGAGCUGAAUGUUGCAAUGAGGGCUCUUGGUUUUGAAAUGUCUGAAGAGGUAAUGGCUUAUUUUUAAUAUCUGUUCUGGUGGUUACUCUC